UACGGGGGGGGCAAGCGUUGUUCGGAAUUACUGGGCGUAAAGGGCUCGUAGGUGGCCAACUAAGUCGGACGUGAAAUCCCUCGGCUCAACCGGGGAACUGCGUCUGAGACUGGCGAGCUCGAGUGCAGGAGAGGAACGCGGAAUUCCAGGUGUAGCGGUGAAAUGCGUAGAUAUCUGGAGGAACACCGGUGGCGAAGGCGGCGUUCUGGACUGCAACUGACACUGUAAAACGAAAGCCAGGGGAGCAAACGGG
rnacentral:rRNA from 1 species